AUACGUAGGGGGCGAGCGUUGUCCGGAAUGAUUGGGCGUAAAGGGCGCGUAGGCGGCGCGGUAAGUCUGGAGUGAAAGUCCUGCUUUCAAAGUGGGAAUUGCUUUGGAUACUGCCGCGCUUGAGUGCAGGAGAGGUUAUCGGAAUUCCCGGUGUAGCGGUGAAAUGCGUAGAGAUCGGGAGGAACACCAGUGGCGAAGGCGGGUAUCAGGACUGCAACUGACGCUGAGGCGCGAAAGUGUGGGGAGCAAACAGGAUUAUAUGCCCUGGUAGUCCACACUGUAAACGAUGAAUGCUAGGUGUAAGAGGUAACGAACCCUUUUGUGCCGGAGUCAACACAAUAAGCAAUACGCCUGGGGAGUACGGCCGCAAGGUUGAAACUCAAAUGAAUUGACGGGG
rnacentral:rRNA from 1 species